AUUGAACGCUGGCGGCAUGCCUUACACAUGCAAGACGAACGGCAGCGCGGACUUCGGUCUGGCGGCGAGUGGCGAACGGGUGAGUAAUACAUCGGAACGUACCCUGUUGUGGGGGAUAACUAGUCGAAAGAUUAGCUAAUACCGCAUACGACCUGAGGGUGAAAGUGGGGGACCGGAAACGGCCUCAUGCAGCAGGAGCGGCCGAUGUCUGAUUAGCUAGUUGGUGGGGUAAAGGCCCACCAAGGCGACGAUCAGUAGCUGGUCUGAGAGGACGAUCAGCCACACUGGGACUGAGACACGGCCCAGACUCCUACGGGAGGCAGCAGUGGGGAAUUUUGGACAAUGGGGGCAACCCUGAUCCAGCAAUGCCGCGUGUGUGAAGAAGGCCUUCGGGUUGUAAAGCACUUUUGUCCGGAAAGAAAUCGCGCUGGUUAAUACCUGGCGUGGAUGACGGUACCGGAAGAAUAAGCACCGGCUAACUACGUG
rnacentral:rRNA from 1 species